UGGGUGUGGGACUAGCGAUAGUUCCGUGCCGAAGUUAACGCGAUAAGCAUACCGCCUGGGGAGUACGGUCGCAAGAUUGAAACUCAAAGGAAUUGACGGGGGCCCGCACAAGCGGUGGAGCACGUGGUUUAAUUCGAUGCAAACCGAAGAACCUUACCUGGACUUGACAUCCACGCGGUAGAGAAGCGAAAGCGGAUCGACCCUUUCGCAAGGAAGGGAACGUGAACAGGUGCUGCAUGGCUGUCGUCAG
rnacentral:rRNA from 1 species